rnacentral:rRNA from 1 species
GACGAACGCUGGCGGCGUGCUUAACACAUGCAAGUCGAACGGAAAGGCCCUGCUUUUGUGGCGUGCUCGAGUGGCGAACGGGUGAGUAACACGUGAGUAACCUGCCCUUGACUUUGGGAUAACUUCAGGAAACUGGGGCUAAUACCGGAUAGGAGCUCCUGCUGCAUGGUGGUGGUUAGAAAGUUUCGGCGGUUGGGGAUGGACUCGCGGCUUAUCAGCUUGUUGGUGGGGUAGUGGCUUACCAAGGCUUUGACGGAUAGGCGGCCUGGGAGGGUGACCGGCAACUAUGGUAAUAAGAAACGACCCAGAAUCCUAGGGGCGGCAGAGGUGGGAACUAUGGCACAAUGGGAGGAAGCCUGAUGCAACAAGGCCGCGUGCGGAAUGACGGCCUUCGGGUUGAAAACCACUUUCGCCUGUGACAAGGCGUUAGUGACGGUAACGGGUCAAGAAGCACCGGCUAACUACGUG